UCUUGGUUUUCGACCAUUUAAUGAGUGAUGGGGAUUUUCUGCAUUAUUUGAUUGGUUGUUGUUAUUUAUUUUCUCAUAUGGUAUUGUCUUUAACAUUAAAGGAAGAUGGUUUUUUUUUUCCAAUUUGUUGGUCCCACCUAGAAGGGUUUUUGGUCAACCAUAUUGUAGAAAAUACUCGUGUUUAUAUUUGUUGUUUUUCUCCAGGAUGUUUUCACAUGUUUGGACUAGCUAUUUCUGAGAUACAUCUUUUUCCAAGGAUUUUGAGUUCUUCACGGGCAUUCCAUUUCAUUUUCUUGAUUGCUAACACUUCUCCAUCAAUUGUUCCUUUAUACACAGACCCUUGAAUCAAACACUCUUCAUCAAAUCCAUUUGUUGCUUCCCAAAGUUGUUCCAUUUUAUACAUUUUAUACUUAUCCAAACAGUCUGAUAAAUCAGCCAUCAAAUUCACUUCAACAUCUUUAUCAACAAUAGACCCCUUUUUUGAUCCAACAUACAAACUUUUUUGUCUUUCUAUAUCACUAUACUUUUCUCUCUUUACUGUUUUCUCCUUGUAAAACAAACCAAGAAUCAAAAUCAACAGCAGCCCACAAACCCC